UGAAUCGCGCUUUCCUGCUCAGGUAAGACAAGUUAAAGAAAACUGUCAGUUUUUUUUGCCGAAUUUACUUCAGAUAUUUGAAUGCCAUUGUAAGGAUUAAAAUAUCCCGUCACCUAAGAAAAGGGGCAGCCCUCUCCUGAAGGGCCGCACUUGAGGGGUGUGUGAUGUAGACUGCCUACCCUGACGCAAGAAUCAGUAGCUUGAACCCAUGACUGGAUUUUAUCGUUGCUCCAAGGCUGCCCCUUCUAA
rnacentral:misc_RNA from 1 species